CUUUUCCUCUGUUUGUUCCAGCUUUUAAGAUAUGUGAUAGAUAGAUAGAUAGAUAGAUAGAUAGAUAGAUAGAUAGAUAAUAGAUAUUGUUACAUGAUAGACACAGUUAGGCUAGUAGAGAUUAUAACUAGAUGAUAGGGAUCUAGAUAGAUAAGUAAAUGGACAGGUAAAUGAUAGAUAUAGGUAGAUGUAGAUAGUAUUAGUCAGAUUUUUGUUACUAUAACAAAUAACCUGAACUAACCAAUGUAUAAAGAGAAAAGGUUCAUCUUGGCUUAUAGUUUUGGGGAUUUCAGUCCCUAAUCAGUUGGCCCCAUUGUUGUUAGUCCUGUAAUAAGGCAAGCAUAUUUUGGCAGGAACAUGUGACUGAGCAAAACCACUCACUCACCCCAUGGUCAGAGAUCAAAGAGGGAGGGGAAGGGGCUGGGGGUCCCCAAUUCCUUCAAGGGCACAUCGUAGUAACCUGAAGACCUCCCACUAGGCCCCAUCUCCUAAAUGUUCCAUGCCCUUCCAGUGGCACCACACCAAGACCAAGCCUUUAGCACACAGGUCUUUCAGGGAUACUUAUCCAACAUUAGCCGUUGGAUAGAUGAUAGACAGACAGACAGACAGAAUGCAAAGCUUUAGAAAGCAUUUGGGGAGCUGGUCAUUGACGCUCAACUCACUGACACGAUCCAGAAGCCUUGGGCUGGCCUCGGCUUUGGCUUCCGACUGGCUCACCUGCUGGGUGGGUUCUCAGGGCCGACCUGGCCAGAGCCGGCCAAGCUGCCCACCUGGGGUACCAUUCCCGGCAGGUUCUGGAAGACACGGGGAGACCUGCACCCUCCCCUGCCCUCUGCCCUCUGCCCUCCGGUGACUCAUCUUUUUCAGAGCGCCUGUCUGUGAGGGGGCCUCCUGGGUGCUCGGGUGGGGGGUCAUCUCAGUACCAGCAAGACUCGCAGCCACGUGUCACCCUGCGCCUGGGACCACACCCAGAGGAAGGCAUCAGAGGCGUCUGCAGGGCCACUCCCCAAGGAGUCAUGGGUGUCACUUGGCGCCUGGUGGGAGC
rnacentral:lncRNA from 1 species